rnacentral:rRNA from 1 species
UUCACCUACGGGGCGCAGCAGUCGGGAAUAUUGCGCAAUGGAGGGAACUCUGACGCAGUGACGCCGCGUAUAGGAAGAAGGUUUUCGGAUUGUAAACUAUUGUCGUGAGGGAAGAAAUUGACAGUACCUCAGGAGGAAGCUCCGGCUAACUAUGUGCCAGCAGCCGCGGUAAUACAUAGGGAGCAAGCGUUAUCCGGAUUUACUGGGUGUAAAGGGAGCGUAGACGGCUGUGCAAGUCUGAAGUGAAAGCCCAGGGCUCAACCCUGGGACUGCUUUGGAAACUGUGGAGCUAGAGUGCUGGAGAG